rnacentral:rRNA from 1 species
CAGUAGCCGCGGGAAUACAGAGGGUGCAAGCGUUAAUCGGAAUUACUGGGCGUAAAGCGCGCGUAGGUGGUUUGUUAAGUUGGAUGUGAAAGCCCCGGGCUCAACCUGGGAACUGCAUCCAAAACUGGCAAGCUAGAGUACGGUAGAGGGUGGUGGAAUUUCCUGUGUAGCGGCGAAAUGCGUAGAUAUAGGAAGGAACACCAGUGGCGAAGGCGACCACCUGGACUGAUACUGACACUGAGGUGCGAAAGCGUGGGGAGCAAACAGGAUUAGAUACCCGCGUAGUCCCUGUCUCUUAUAC